UUUUCAAGAGUCGAGUUGUUUGGGAUUGCAGCUCAAAAUGGGAGGUAAAUUUCUCCCAAAGCUAAAUAUUGGCGAGAGACCGAUAGCGAACAAGUACCGUGAGGGAAAGAUGAAAAGAACUUUGAAAAGAGAGUUAAACAGUACGUGAAAUUGUUGAAAGGGAAACGAUUGAAGUCAGUCGUACUAACGGGAAAUCAACCUUUUUGAGAUGUAAAUUUUGGAUUCGAAGAGUGUUCGGGUUCAACUAUUUGCGCUUUAGGGGCGUAAUUUCUCGUUCGGUAGGUUAACAUCGAUUUUGAACAUUAUAAAAUGAUCGGAGGAAUGUAGCUUCGAUCUCGUAUUGAAGUGUUAUAGCCUUUGGUAGAUGUAAUGAUCAAGAUCGAGGAUUGCAACGAAUACCCUUUUGGGCUAUCCGUCUGAUCUCCGAUACGUUGCCUUGGUAAUGAAAGCGUGCUUAUGUUAUUGAGGUAUUACGGUCAAAAGGUUAGAACGUGAUUACAUUCGUU
rnacentral:rRNA from 1 species